GUACUUCUCGAUGAAUUCUGGCCCAGGGUUAGGUGUUCUUGAGUAUAUCUGGUUCAGUGGCAGAAAGAUGGGUUAGGGCCUAUGAUGUUUCACAUUACAACUGCAUCAGACAUGCAGAUGUAUUUACCAAGGUAUACUUUUCAUACUUAAUGUCGUUAUUCUACAACACAUACUUUUCCAUGCUCAAUUCUUAACAAAAAAGGAAAAAAUUAGCAUACUUCAGUUGAUGAUGUUACUAUUCUUAGUAAAAUUUUGAUUGUACAAACUCUUUUGCAGGAACCUGGUUACAACUGCAAAAAUAAAGGACCUUCAGCAGUUCAGAGUUUAGUUCCUCACCUGAAUAAAGCUUGUAUCUUUAGCUCCAGAUACAACUGCAUAAUUGUCAUAGUCAGUUG
rnacentral:lncRNA from 1 species